UGAGCGCAAAGGAAAGGUUAGCAACUGAGGAAUACUCUAUAUAACUUAUCAUUUUCUAGGUAUUACAAUAAUGGUGUAAUGAAGAAUAUAAGAAAUCAAUAAAGAAGCAGAAAGUAUACAUAGUCCAUCAGUCACCUCUACAUAAAGUCAUAACUCAUGAGACAAAGGCUAAUCAAUGAAGCAAUUCAAGACAGAAAACAAUAGAUAACUUAUUUUAUUUUUUGUGAUUUUUAAUAUUAAAUUUAAAAUUAUUAUA